rnacentral:misc_RNA from 1 species
AACAAGGCGUACCUGCGGACCUGCGGAAGGAUCAUUACCGAGUUUACAACUCCCAAACCCCUGUGAACAUACCUAUACGUUGCCUCGGCGGAUCAGCCCGCGCCCCGUAAAACGGGACGGCCCGCCCGAGGACCCUAAACUCUGUUUUUAGUGGAACUUCUGAGUAAAACAAACAAAUAAAUCAAAACUUUCAACAAUGGAUCU